CUAGGUUGAGGUCCGCUGGAUUGGGUGUUUAGUUGUUAACUAAAAUUUUACGGGAUCGAGGCCCGUCGACCUAGG
rnacentral:tRNA from 1 species